UCUGUGAAUUCUUCAGAUUUUCUUUGUUAAAGCCUUAGCUGGAGAUUAUUGACUAAGUUCAUCGGGGUAGAUUUGCUCAGGCGGAAAUAAUGAGCAUGAAGGCAAGCUUUUCUAGAAGACAUGAAAAUGUAGAUGAGCUUUGUGCUAGAAAUAUAAAAAAAGACCAGAGUUUGAUAUCUUUUACUGUUGUAGAUACACAGGAAGUGGUUUAAUUUACCCUGAAUGAUGUAAUGUGCCACAUCUCAAAAUAAGCAAAUGUAAUACAGAAACUAGACAGUUUGCAAAAAAAGACAAA